rnacentral:rRNA from 1 species
CGACGUGAGGAACCUGCCUUUCAGAGGGGGACAACAGCUGGAAACGGCUGCUAAUACCGCAUAACACAUAGGUGUCGCAUGGCAUUUAUGUCAAAGAUUUAUCGCUGAGAGAUGGCCUCGCGUCUGAUUAGCUAGUUGGUAGGGUAACGGCCUACCAAGGCGACGAUCAGUAGCCGGACUGAGAGGUUGGCCGGCCACAUUGGGACUGAGAUACGGCCCAGACUCCUACGGAAGGCAGCAG